CUGCAGGGUAACGUGUAGAGCCAUACAACCUGUGCAUAUGUGCUGCACACUGAAAUUUAUAUCUGUUGAAGGAAGUGCCAGAUACGGCUGAUUUGCCUUUUCGACAGAAAGACAUUUUCUGGCAACUGUCCCUUUACGAAGAAUUUCAUUGAUCUGGUUUCUUGGUGUAAAGAGUACGCUGUACAAGGUCAAGGUCAUAUAAAUGAAUGACGACACAUCUCCCCCAUAUGUACACCAGUAUACCCCUGUAGUCAACUGCCAAUUUCACGGAAAUGGCGUGAGCUCAUUUCAUGAGAAGCGACUGGGUGGACAGUUCCAAGCUAGGACAGCGUGAACACAACAAAAUGUUACCCCAUCGACAGCUGUAUUAGCAUACCUAUACGCCCCGGUCUGUGGUCAGUCGGAACCGAAUAGCCCUAUUGACACGUGCGAUCUGAUCCAAAAGCCUCGUCGUGACCAACCUCCCAUUGAACGUGAUGCGUCUACCGCUCACCAACAAUUUCUACGGAAACUGAAAGACUUCACAAAAACUGCUAAAAAAGAGAGAAAAGCAAUACAAAAGGCUUGGGACAUUCCACGCAGCCUGGUGAGGGAAUAUCGCAAUAAAGGCAUCAGAGAUCUUCAUCCAAGGCAAGGAAAACGUCUUCGAAUACCGAAAAACAAAAGGGUACAGCCACUGUUCGAGGCGGCGUGGUGGCUGACGUCGAUGCAGAAAGCUGCUCAUGAACUGUAUCAGAUGAACCUCAUUGCAGAAAGGUUUACCAAAGAGCUGGAGGCUCUCUCCAACGACCUCUACGGAACCCUAUACGUCCUGAAUAUCCGUGUCAGAAAACCAAGAGAACUCUGCCAUCGAGAGCAAACAAUCGACUUUCCACUGGAGCCAGUAGAUGUGACAAAGGAAAGCGGUUAUGGGUAUAUCGUCCUGCGGGACAUAGAACGAGGCGUCAAACGGAUGGCGAAGAUGUUGAGGAGGUGUAAGGUUACCGUUUCCAAAAACAGAUCCCGAGUCAGGUGUGGUAAAAAAGCCAAGUCUAUAUUCUACUCGAAAAAAUCGAAAAUUGUCCUGGGAACAUGGCAAGACAUUUUUACAUGAUGUAGACGGUUAAACGAAGUAGGAACUGGUUGUUGCCACAGAUGGUGUCGACUUGUGAGAUACAUUUGAUGACAUCCUCUCUUACAUAUGGAUGGGGGCAUCUAUGCUGCUUGACUCUGAGAUCAACGUCCUGGAGCGAUAUAAUGUGUGUUUGCUGUGGAGGCGUCCAGCCCCGGGGCUCCGUCACUGGUUCUGAAUGUUCACGUCAAAUUUAAACUGCUAUUUGAACAUAAUUAUUAGAAUGGCUUGUCUAGGGUAUGCAUGAAUGCGUGUGCGUGCAUAUAAUUUCAGCGUGGGUUUGUGUGUAUGGGUGUGUGCACAUCCUGGUGUCAAUAUUGAGAAUAAGUCCGCGCGUGUGUGUGCUUAUGCGCGUAUGUCGUACGAGAGAUGACGCAUUAUUUAUACAAGAAUAUUUUUGUGAGGACGCUUUAACUUAUUUUUACUCAUUUGUCAUUGUACAUAAAUGUUAUUAUUUAUUGUUUAACAUAUAAUGUUUCUCAUUUAUCAAUCACUUUGAACAAAAAUGCAUUUGCAUGUGAAACUUGGUGCCGAGACAUGUUGUGCCCAUUGUGAACUUGAUGAAACGUGUAUGAAAACUGUGUAUUCCAGUGUCGUCCAAUAUGACACUCAAAGUCAACUGCUUCAAGUACCAAAUUAUAUGUGAGGAUCUUCAAAGAGUUUAGAAUUCCUUGAACUGUUCUAAACUCUGGAUAAAGUCUUUGUUAUCUGUCCAUUCCAUUUCAUUAUUUCAACAAUGGUUCGAUACAUAUUUUUCAACAGGUUUCAUUGUUCGACACAGCCUAGUCAUACUGCAGUAAGAGUUUCCAUUUCUCUUCAAGACAAACCAUAUUUCGAAACUACUGAUGUUUGGGAUAAAAUUAUGCAUGUUCGAUUUAUAGUUGUCCGAUGCAGACUCUAGAACCAAAUAUGAAUCGUUGCAGCCAAAGACACGCUAAAUGCUUUAAAUGAAAUAAUGAGGGGUUUCAUCUGAAUAUUCUGUUAUGUAUAUGAGUUUCCUGAUGUUGUUUAUAGAACCGAUAUAACGGGAAAAGUUUAUGCCAUAGAAUCUUGCAUUUAUAUUGUGUUGUGUAUCUAUUAUGAAAUGUUAUUAGAAGCCAUGACAAGAUUGACAGUCCACUUCACCCAGAACACCUGCUAAUACGUCCAAUGAGAAAUGUCCAAUGUGAAAUCCUACACAACACCACUGGAUGUUGUCCUGUACAUAACAAACUAAACCUCUUCUCUGACGUAUGCAUUUUCUUUUUAAAGAAAAUUAUGUUUCAUAAUUAUUUGAUAUCAUGCCAUUUGUAUUCAUGUAUUUUUACCUGAUACAUUAAAUGCCUGUAUUUUUACAA